rnacentral:rRNA from 1 species
UGAACGCUGGCGGCGUGCUUAACACAUGCAAGUCGAACGAAGCACUUUCUUACGAUCCCUUCGGGGUGACGAGUUAGUGACUGAGUGGCGGACGGGUGAGUAACGCGUGGGUAACCUGCCUUAUACAGGGGGAUAACAGUUGGAAACGGCUGCUAAUACCGCAUAAGCGCACAGUACCGCAUGGUACAGUGUGAAAAACUCCGGUGGUAUAAGAUGGACCCGCGUCUGAUUAGCUAGUUGGUGAGGUAACGGCCCACCAAGGCGACGAUCAGUAGCCGAUCUGAGAGGAUGAACGGCCACAUUGGGACUGAGACACGGCCCAGACUCCUACGGGAGGCAGCAGUGGGGAAUAUUGCACAAUGGGCGAAAGCCUGAUGCAGCGACGCCGCGUGAGUGAUGAAGUAUUUCGGUAUGUAAAGCUCUAUCAGCAGGGAAGAUAAUGACGGUAC